GCUGCUUUGUUUACCCAAGCAAGCCUGGGCAAUGGCGGGCGCCCCUCCCCCAGCCUUGCUGCGGCCUUGCAGUUUGAUCUCAGACUGCUGUGCUAGCAAUCAGCGAGACUCCGUGGGCGUAGGACCCUCCUAGCCAGGUGCAAGAUAUAAUCUCGCGGUGCGCCGUUUUUUAAGCCGGUCCGAAAGCGCAAUAUUCGGGUGGGAGAGACCCGAUUUUCCAGUGAGAUGAACCCAGUACCUCAGAUGGAAAUGCAGAAAUCACCCGUCUUCUGCGUCGCUCACGCUGGGAGCUGUAGACCGGAGCUGUUGCUAUUCGGCCAUCUUGGCUCCUCUCCUGUCUGAGGUACUUCUUUAUAGCACUGCAAGAAUGGACUAAUACGCUAUGUGAAGACAAAGGGGAUGUCUGCAAGCCAGGACGAGUGCGUCUACCAGAAACUGAGUUCUGCUGGACUUUGAUCUAGGACAUCCAGCCUCCAGAAUGGAAUGUGCCAUAUGUGGAGACCUGCAUGGAAAGGAACUGAGGAUGCUCUCUCACUAAAAGCUAGAAGGAACUGAGGCCCUCAGUCAACAGUCUACAAGACACUGAAUCUUGCCAGCAGCCAAGCAGUGAGCUUGAAAGCAGAUCUAUCAUCAGCUGAACCUUCAGAUGAGACCGCAGCCUAAGCAGAUACCUUGGUUGCAGCCAUGUGAGACAACCUGAAACAGAGGGCACAGCUAAGCCUCAGCCAGGUUCAUGACCCUCUGAGGAAACUGUGAGAAAGCAAAUGUCAUUUUAAGCUAUUUAAUUUUGGAGGUAGUUUAUUACACAACAAUAAAUAACUAUUAUAAUUAUCUUGAGGAUUUAUUUCCUGGGGAGAAUACAUGGAAUUGCAUAUAUAGGUCCUCAUAUGCAGAAUACUGGUACCCUAGAGAUGUUCACCCCAGAGAUGUUUUAGGAACCUGUGAAUAUGUUACAUUAAAUGGCAAAGUUUUCCUGGAUGGUUUAAGUUUAAGAUGGAAAAGUUUUACUGGAUUAUCCAGUGGGUCCAAUCUAGUAACAUGAGUCCUUAAAAAUGGAGAAUAUUUUUUGGCCAUGAUCAGAGAGACAUGUGAUGAUGGAAAAAGUGUCAGAGAUGCAAUGUGAGGGGACUAAAACUGCUGUUGCUGACUUUAAAGAUGGAGAGAGGGGAACCCGAGUCAAGGAAUGCAAAUGGCCUCUGGAAGCUGGAAAAAGCAAGAAAUGGAUUCUCCUUUAGAGCCUGUGGAAUAAAAUGCAGUCAUGCUGACACCUUGAUUUUACCUCAGUGAGACCAAUACUGGAGUAUGACCUUCGGAGCUGAAUAAAAUUAUACGUACACAUCUUAAUUUCUUGGGAUUUGAUUACUUCUUCUGCUUUGAAAUUAGACCAAGUUUAGCCUGCCUUUGCUAUUUUGGCGUAUCUCCAAUUCUUCAUGAUUUUCUCAUCGCAAAGGCCACAUAAGGACAGUGAGAAGGCAGCCACCUGCAAGCCAGGAAGAAAGGUCUCACCAGAUACCAACCCUGCCAGCAUGUUGAUCUUGGACUUCCAGCCUCCAAAACUGGCCUUCUGCUCACAUGGGCUUCCGUGCACCUGCUUCAGGAGACAGCAACACUUGCGCCCGCACCGCGGCAGGCUCCCAUCACCUGGUGGAUAUGCCGCGCCGAGUCUCAUCACACCUUAGUGAAGGAACACAUGGACCCAUAUGUUAGCGGAUGUAUUUACAUCGUUUUAUACAGAAAGGGGAAAUGGAGUCUUGCUCUGUCACACAUGCUAGAGUCCAGUGGUAUGACCUCAGCUCACUGCAAUCUCUGCCUCCCGGGUUCAAAUGAUUCUUCUGCCUUGACCUCCCUGGCAGCUGGGACUACAGGCCUGCACCACCACGCCUGGCAAAUUUUUUAAUUUUUUUUAGUAGAGAUGGGGUUUCACCAUGUUGGCCAGGCUAGUCUCGAACUCCUGACCUCAAAUGAUCUGCCCGCUUUGGCCUUCCAAAGUUCUGGGAUUAUAGGAGUGAGCCACCAUGCCCAGCCUGUUCUUAAGUCUCCUAGAACAGGGAUUCUGAAACACAAAACUCAUCUGGCAAAGAGUUCUAAGAUGCAUUUCACAGCACUCCACAGAAGGAAGGUUCAGAGCCAAUCAUCUGCACCAGUGCCCAACUUAAAAACAUCCUUGUAUCAGUUUUCCCUUAUUUCCUGUUCUCCUCCCUAAACCUUCAGUCCUGUUCCUGGCAAUCACUUCCAGAAUAAACCAUAUACAUGCCUCAGAUUCUGAUCUCAGAGGAUCCCAGACUAAUACAGAGAUACACUAUGCUGAUUGCUUAACCCGCAUUUUCUCAUUUAAUUGAAACAUAUACGUGGUAAGGUAUUUAUUCAUACCUGCAUGAUUUUGUAGAUAAACCUUAGAGAAAUUAAUACUUUUCAGAAGGCAAUUAAAGUAACACAGCAAGCAAUUGAUAAAACCUGGAUUCGCCAAGUUAAACUGGUCUGGUUUCAAAACCUGUAUUGUUUCCUAACAUACCACCUAAAUUCUCAAAUGGUAUUGGAAGGGGUUAAAUGAGAUUAUAAAUGUAAAAUUCUUGGUAUAGUUAAUUCUCAAAAAUAGGCCUUCAAUCUAUAGAAUCCAUUUGUAGAACUAUCUUCAGGAAGGAAAAAUACAUCACCCUCCACCCCACCCUCAAAGAAACAUGGAAAAUUUAAACUAAGACUUCAAAUCUUGAGCUCUGCACAUCUUAGAAUAUUUUGUUUCUAUGAAAAAGAAGCUUUGGAGAAUGUGUAUCAGUCUGAAACACUGUAGUGUGAGCACAGAAAUCAGCCCAUCACAUUAUGCCCCAAAUGCUGAAGUACGGCUGAAUCUGAUUGCCCUGCAUUUUUAAGUACUGCAAAAUUCUGGGACUUGGGAUCAUCUGUUACUACAGACUUGUCAUAUUCCACUGAAAUAAAACAUAUAGUCUAAUUUGCAAAGUUCUCGUGUGGAAAGAGUCCUAAAAUGUAUAUAACCUCUGUCCCAGCAAUUCCAUUAGGAAUUUAUCCAAUCCAAAAUCUAAAAUGCAGAAGAUCUACAUAUUGAAUGCUUAUGGCAGCAUUCUUUAAAAUUAUGAAAAUUGAAAGCAACCAAAAUCCUCAAAAACAGACUAAUGGCUAAGUAGUAUAACCAUACUAUGAAAUGUGGUAAUUGAAUAUUCAAAUUUGUGUUGUAUAAAAAAUUAAUAAUGGUAUAACAUUUGGCUAUAAAAUAGAAUGAAUUCAAUUGUAUUUUUUAAACCAGUACAUCUGCAUAUUUGUGAACCUAAAAGAUAAGACGGUAAAUAUUUAACUGUAUUUUUCUUUAAUUGUUGGGGCUGUGAAUUAUUUUAAUUUUCUUAAUGCUUUUUAAUCUUCUCUGAAAAUUUUAUAAUAAUCUCUAAUAAUAAUUUAUAGCAAAAAAACCCAAAAUUUUAAAGGGUAUUCUUUUUGUAUUUUUAUCAAGAAUAAAAAUAUAUAUCAAU
rnacentral:lncRNA from 1 species